rnacentral:tRNA from 1 species
AAGAUUUUAAGUUAACAUAAACUGCAAGCCUUCAAAGCUUGGUAUAGACAUGUCUGUCUAAAUCUUA